GAUGAACGCUGGCGGCGUGCCUAAUACAUGCAAGUCGAGCGAACAGACGAGGCGCUUGCUCCUCUGACGUUAGCGGCGGACGGGUGAGUAACGCGUGGAUCACCUACCUAUAUGACUGGUAUAACCUCGGGAAACCGGAGCAAAUACCGGAUAAUAUAUUGAACCGCAUGGUUCAUUAGUGAAAGUCGGCUUUGCUGUCACUUAUAGAUGGAUCUGCGCCGUAUUAGCUGGUUGGUAGGGUACCGGCUUUCCAAGGGUACCAUGCGUGGACGAGGUGUGAGACGGGUCGGCCGCAUGGGAACUGGGACACGGUCCAGGCUCCUACGGGACGCAGCAGUAGGGAAUGUUCGGCAAUGGGCGGAAGCCUGACGGAGCGGCGCCGCGUGAGUGAUGAAGGUCUUCGGUGCGUAAAACUCGGUUAUUGGGGAAGAACAAAUGUGUAAGUAACUGUGGACGUAGUGACGGUACCUAAUCAGAAAGCCACGGCUAACUACGUG
rnacentral:rRNA from 1 species